rnacentral:rRNA from 1 species
AUUGAACGCUGGCGGCAGGCCUAACACAUGCAAGUCGAACGAGCGGCGGACGGGUGAGUAAUGUCUGGGAAACUGCCUGAUGGGGGGGGAUAACUACUGUGAACGGUAGCUAAUACCGCAUACCCUCUGAUGUGCCCCGAUGGGGGUAGCUAGUAGGUGGGGUAACGGCUCACCUAGGCGACGAUCCCUAGCGGGUCUGAGAGGAUGACCAGCAACACUGGAACUGAGACACGGUCCAGACGCCUACGGGAGGCAGCAGUGGGGAAUAUUACACAAUGGGCGCAAGCCUGAUGCAGCCAUGCCGCGUGUGUGAAGAAGGCCUUCGGGUUGUAAAGCACUUUCAGCGGGGAGGCGUUACCCGCAGAAGAAGCACCGGCUAACUCCGUGCCAGCAGCCGCGGUAAUAC